rnacentral:rRNA from 1 species
CACGUAGGGGGCGAGCGUUGUCCGGAUGUAUUGGGCGUAAAGAGCUCGUAGGCGGCUCAGUAAGUCAGGUGUGAAAACUCCAGGCUCAACCUGGAGACGCCACUUGAUACUGCUGUGGCUAGAGUCCGGUAGGGGAGCAUGGAAUUCCUGGUGUAGCGGUGAAAUGCGCAGAUAUCAGGAGGAACACCAGUGGCGAAGGCGGUGCUCUGGGCCGGAACUGACGCUGAGGAGCGAAAGCGUGGGGAGCAAACAGG